UAACGCGGGGCAACCUGGCGACGAGUGGCGGACGGGUGAGUAAUACGUAGGAAUCUGCCCAUUUGUGGGGGAUAACCCGGCGAAAGCCGGGCUAAUACCGCAUACGCUCUACGGAGGAAAGCAGGGGAUCGUAAGACCUUGCGCAAAUGGAUGAGCCUACGUCGGAUUAGCUAGUUGGUAGGGUAACGGCCUACCAAGGCGACGAUCCGUAGCUGGUCUGAGAGGACGAUCAGCCACACUGGGACUGAGACACGGCCCAGACUCCUACGGGAGGCAGCAGUGGGGAAUAUUGGACAAUGGGGGCAACCCUGAUCCAGCAAUGCCGCGUGUGUGAAGAAGGCCUGCGGGUUGUAAAGCACUUUCAGAGGGGAAGAAAAAAUCGGAGCUAACACCUCCGAGCUUGACGUUACCCUUAGAAGAAGCACCGGCUAACUCCGUGCCAGCAGCCGCGGUAAU
rnacentral:rRNA from 1 species